GGAGGUGUACCCAAGUGGCUGAAGGGUUCGGAUUCGAAAUCCGAUAGGGUGGCUUUGCCAUUGCAAGAGUUCAAAUCUCUUCACCUCCGCCA
rnacentral:tRNA from 1 species